rnacentral:misc_RNA from 1 species
AAAGUCAUAACAAGGUAUCUGUAGGUGAACCUGCAGAUGGAUCAUUAGUGAAUAACACGGGGUUCCCACUAUGUGGGCCCCAACCCCUUCACCCAUAUCCACACACCUGUGCACCGCUAGUGACGGCCGAUACGCAAGUAUCUUGUCUGCUACUAGCAACCCUUUUUACACAUACACACAAAGUAAAUGAAUGUCACUGUAACUACGCAAGUAGAAACAAAAUACAACUUUUGACAACGGAUCUCUUGGUUCUC